ACGGGAGGCAGCAGUGGGGGAUAUUGCACAAUGGGCGCAAGCCUGAUGCAGCGAUGCCGCGUGAGGGAAGAAGGUUUUCGGAUUGUAAACCUCUGUCAUCGGGGACGAUAAUGACUGUACCCGAGAAGGAAGCUCCGGCUAACCACGUGCCAGCAGCCGCGGUAAUACGUAGGGAGCAAGCGUUAUCCGGAAUUACCGGGUGUAAAGGGAGUGUAGGCGGGACUGUAAGUCAGAUGUGAAAUAUACCGGCUCAACUGGUAGACUGCAUUGGAAACUGCGGAGCUUGAGUGAAGGAGAGGUAAGCGGAAGUCCUAGUGUAGCGGUGAAAUGCGUAGAUAUUAGGAGGAACAUCAGUGGCGAAGGCGGCUUACUGGGCUUUAACUGACGCUGAGGCUCGAAAGCGUGGGGAGCAAACAGGAUUAGAUACCCUGGUA
rnacentral:rRNA from 1 species